rnacentral:rRNA from 3 species
CCUGGCGGCUUUAGCGCGGUGGUCCCACCUGACCCCAUGCCGAACUCAGAAGUGAAACGCCGUAGCGCCGAUG